GAUGAACGCUGGCGGCGUGCCUAAUACAUGCAAGUCGAGCGAACAGACGAGGAGCUUGCUCCUCUGACGUUAGCGGCGGACGGGUGAGUAACACGUGGAUAACCUACCUAUAAGACUGGGAUAACUUCGGGAAACCGGAGCUAAUACCGGAUAAUAUAUUGAACCGCAUGGUUCAAUAGUGAAAGACGGUUUUGCUGUCACUUAUAGAUGGAUCCGCGCCGUAUUAGCUAGUUGGUAAGGUAACGGCUUACCAAGGCAACGAUGCGUAGCCGACCUGAGAGGGUGAUCGGCCACACUGGAACUGAGACACGGUCCAGACUCCUACGGGAGGCAGCAGUAGGGAAUCUUCCGCAAUGGGCGAAAGCCUGACGGAGCAACGCCGCGUGAGUGAUGAGGGUCUUCGGAUCGUAAAACUCUGUUAUUAGGGAAGAACAAAUGUGUAAGUAACUAUGCACGUCUUGACGGUACCUAAUCAGAAAGCCACGGCUAACUACGUG
rnacentral:rRNA from 1 species